rnacentral:rRNA from 1 species
AAGCCCCCCUCAAGAUAAGAUAUCCCAUAGCACAAGCUAGUAAGACCCCUGAAAGACGAUCAGGUUGAUAGGACAGAGAUGGAAGUGUGGUAACACAUGUAGUUGACUGUUACUAAUAGGUCGAGGGCUUAACCAA